CUGCUAGUUGCACUAAAAAUUUUAGUGUAAAAUCAACUUAGUUGAAUAAAAUUCUGGGUAAGAUUAUGAUAAUGACAUUACUUAUCCAUAUGUCUUGACCAAAUUACGUGCCAGCAGUCGCGGUAAUACGUAGAAGACAAGUGUUAUUCAUCUUUAAUAGGUUUAAAGGGUACUUAGACGGUAAAUCAAGCCUUAAUCGGGACAGAUCUGCUAGAGUUUUAUGUGAGAAAGUAUUAAAGUACUGCUGGUGUAGAGAUGAAAUUCUGUCAUACCUUAGAUGGCACAGGUAAUGGCGAAAGCAUCUUUUUAUGUAAAAACUGACGUUGAAGGACGAAGGCUUUGUGUCUCGAACAGGAUUAGAUACCCUAGUAGUCUAAGCAGACAAUGAUGAAUGUCAUAGAUUAGAUUUAAUUUGAUCUAUAAAUGAAAGUGUAAGCAUUCCACCUCAAGAGUAAUUUGGCAACAUUGGAACUGAAAUCAUUAGACCGUUUCUGAAACCAGUAGUGAAGUAUGUUGUUUAAUUUGAUAAUCCGCAAAAAACCUUACCACAUUUUGAAUAGAUAUUUUUUAUCAUACAAGCGUUGCACGGCUGUCUUCAGUUAAUGUCGUGAGACUUUGGUUAGUUCCAUAAAAUUAACGUAAACCCUUACUUUAUUUUUAAAAAAAGUAGUUCACCGCUAGAUUGGAUGUGAUAACAGGGAUCAAGACAAGUCAUCAUGACCUAAAUAUUGUGGGCUAUAGACGUGCCACAUAUGCCUUACAAAGAGAUGCUAAAUUGUGAAAUUAAGCUAAUCUCCUAAAAUUGGAUAUAAAUUUAAUGGAU
rnacentral:rRNA from 1 species